GCUACAGCAUAUGGUGGAUGCCUUGGCACAAAACGGCGAUGAAGGACGUAGCAGCCUGCGAUAAGCCUCGGAGAGCUGGCAAGCAAGCAUUGAUCCGGGGAUUUCCGAAUGGGGAAACCCUACUAUCGUUAUUGAUAGUAACUCCGUCGUAAGAUGGAGAGCGUACCCGCUGAAGUGAAACAUCUCAGUAAGCGGAGGAAAAGAAAAUUAGAAUGAUUCCCUGAGUAGUGGCGAGCGAAAAGGGAUUAGCCGAAACGUGUUUGACUAUUGUUCGUGUGAUUCGUUAUUCGAAAGAAUGAUUGGAAAGCAUAUUCAUGAAGGCGCAAGGGCCACAUGUCUUACACGCGUUAAAAGAGAGCAAUGAUUUCAUCCUUGAACAUGAGAGAGAGAGGAAUCCCAAAUCGGGUUUAACAUUCCUAGGAGAAAGGCCUGGAACGGCCUGCCAUAGAAGGUGAUAGCCCUGUACACGAAAGGAGUUAGACCUCUCUGAUUGUUUUUCUUGAGUACCACGAGGCACGAGAAACCUUGUGGGAAGUCCGGCCGACUAUAGGUCGAAGGCUAAAUACGUUUUGUGACCGAUAGCGAAUUAGUACCGCGAGGGAAAGGUGAAAAGCAGCCCGGUGAGGGCGAUGAAAUAGUAUCUGAAACCAUAUGCGAACAAAGAGUCGGAGCUCCGACCUCGGUCGGAGUGACGGCGUUCCUAUUGAAGAAUGAUCCAACGAGUUUAUUCUACGUUGCUCGUCUAAGUCACUGCGGUGACGGAGGCAGAGCGAAAGCGAGUCUUACAAGGGCGUCACCUUACUAUUUCGAUAUUUCGAAAUUUCGAUAUAUCGAAAUGGUAUGGUAGGCAGCGUGGAUGAGACCCGAACGGGGGUGAGCUAACCAUGGCCAGGGUGAACUCCGAUGAAAAUCGGAGGGAGGCCCGAACACACGAGCCGUGCAACACUUGGUGAUGAGCUGUGGUUAGGGGUGAAAUUCCUAUCGAACUCCCUAAUAGCUGGUUCUCCUCGAAAUAGCUUAAGGGCUAGCCUCGGAUGUUCCUCGCAGGGGUAGAGCACUGAAUGGGGUGCGAUGGCGCAAGCCUACGUACCUCAACCAAACUCCGAAUACUGCGAAUAUAUAAUCCGGGAGUCAGACUAUGGGGGCGAAGCUCCAUCAGUCAUAAGGGAAACAGCCCAUGACCACCAUCUAAGGUCCCUAAAUGUAUGUUCAGUGUAAAAGGUAGUGGAGUGACUUGGACAACGAGGAGGUUGGCUUAGAAGCAGCCAUCCUUUAAAGAAAGCGUAACAGCUCACUCGUCAAGUUGCCCUGCGCCAAAAAUGUAACGGGGCUAAACAUACUACCGAAGGUGUGGACUGUGCCGAUUUAUCGGCAUAUGUGGUAGAGGAGCGUUCCGACUGCAACGAAGGUUACGGCGUAAGCCGGGCUGGAGUGGUCGGAAGUGCGAAUGUUGGAAUAAGUAGCAAAAAGUCAAGUGAAAACCUUGACCACCGUAAACCCAAGGUUUCCUGGGCAACGCAACUCGACCCAGGGUGAGUCGAUCCUAAGGUGAGGCCCCAAAGGCGUAACCGAUGGAAGAGCAGGUUAAUAUUCCUGCACUACCGUACGAGUCAUUUCUUCGUGCGCUUUUAUGUGGUGCGUGUGUGUUUUGGAUAUGCACAUGGAUGCCAUAGCAAUAUGGUGGCCGCAGGCGACGUCGCAAGACCGAGCCAAUACGCAUAAAGUAAGAGCCAAGAAAAGCGAAGAAACUUUGUCGUACGGUAACCGUACCGCAAACCGACACAGGUGGGUGGGGAGAGUAUCCCAAGGUGUACGAGAGAACCCUCGCUCAGGAACUCGGCAAUACAACGACCGUAACUUCGGAAUAAGGUCUGCCCCGAGCAAUCGGGGCCGCAGCGAAAGACGCUUGGCGACUGUUUAACAAAAACACAGGUCCCUGCGAAGUCGUAAGACAAAGUAUAGGGACUGAUGCCUGGCCAGUGUCAGAACGUUACGAGGAGAGGUCAUGGCCGAAGCAAUUCGGCCGGCAGCCUUGAAUCUAAGCGCUGAUGAACGCCGGCGAUAACUAUAAUCGUCCUAAGGUUUUCUAGAUCAAUCAAUGGUCUAGAAAAGGACUGGGACGAUUAUACUAUAAAGUGUUUUUGAGAAGUGCUGAGUUAGAGAAAUGAGCAAAAUAAAGUUGGGAAAGUAACUGCCUAAUAGAGUUGGCUAUAUGCUGGAAACUCUGGUGUAUCGAGCAUUACUAUAGUAUAAUGACAAUGGGUAUAUAUUCCUUGUCAAAUAGCUAUAGUGAAAAUAUGUCUCGUGCAGACAAUCAGCAGGAAAGACUAAUAAUGAUCGGGUGGAUUCUUGGAUUCGUUGAUGGCGAAGGUUGUUUCUCGGUCGGUUUUGUAAAACAACCUGAUCGUAAAGAAGCAACAAGAAUCCGUCGAGGAUAUACAACGGGGUAUCAGAUUGCUCCCGAAUUUUCUGUCAUGCAAGGUGAAAGGAGCAUCAAAAAUCUCAAAAAACUAAAAUCUUUUUUUGGAGUCGGCGCAGUUUACAUAAAUCGUCGACAUGAUAACCAUAAAGAAGAUCUCUUCCGAUACCACGUCAGUCGUCGUGAAGAUCUACUCAAUGUGAUUAUUCCAUUCUUUGAGAAGUAUCCGUUGCGUACUGCAAAAAAGAAUGACUUUUGUCUUUUUGCAAAGUGUAUUCGAUUGAUGCAGAAAGGAAAACAUCUCACAAGAAAUGGAGUAAUACAGAUAGCACAAUUAACCGAAAGAAUGAAUCAUCGAAAAUCACGCACUGAUCUUAUUAGAAUCCUCAGAAACCAAACGCCAACCUCCGCAUAAAGCGGAGAAGAUAGAGUUCCAUCUGCAUAGCGAUAUGCAGCGUCAGCAAUGACGACUCCGACGUAGGUCGGAGGAAGGUGAUUAGCGAAAUCCCUUGUCGGGUAAGUAUCGGAACU
rnacentral:rRNA from 1 species